rnacentral:rRNA from 1 species
CCUACGGGUGGCUGCAGUGAGGAAUAUUGGUCAAUGGCCGGAAGGCUGAACCAGCCAUGCCGCGUGAAGGUCAGUGCCCUAUGGGCGUUAAACUUCUUUUUUGCGGGAGCAAUAAUGGUCACGUGUGGCCAGACGAGAGUACCGUACGAAUAAGCCACGGCUAACUACGUGCCAGCAGCCGCGGUAAUACGUAGGUGGCAAGCGUUGUCCGGAUUUACUGGGUGUAAAGGGCGUGCAGCCGGAGAGACAAGUCAGAUGUGAAAUCCACGGGCUCAACCCGUGAACUGCAUUUGAAACUGUUUCCCUUGAGUGUCGGAGAGGUAAUCGGAAUUCCUGGUGUAGCGGUGAAAUGCGUAGAUAUAAGGAAGAACACCAGUGGCGAAGGCGGAUUACUGGACGAUAACUGACGGUGAGGCGCGAAAGCGUGGGGAGCAAACAGGAUUAGAUACCCCUGUAGUC